rnacentral:tRNA from 1 species
GGAGCUUUCGUAUAUCGGUCAGUACGUGAGAUUCUGAAUUGCUUACGUAAUCACGCACGUGGCACAAAGUUUCGUUCUCGAAAGGUGGGUUCGAUUCCCUCAAGCUCCU